UCUCCGUUGGUGAACCAGCGGAGGGAUCAUUAUCGAGUUUAUAACUCCCAAACCCUAUGUGAACUUACCACUUGUUGCUUCGGCGCGCGCUUCGGCGCCGCCGAGGACACUUAAACUCUUUGUUUUUAUAAGCAUUUCUGAGUGGCCGAAAGGCAAAAUACAAAUGAAUCAAAACUUUCAACAACGGAUCUCUUGGUUCGG
rnacentral:misc_RNA from 1 species